UACGAAGGGGGCUAGCGUUGCUCGGAUUUACUGGGCGUAAAGGGCGCGUAGGCGGAGAUUUAAGUCAGGGGUGAAAUCCCGAGGCUCAACCUCGGAACUGCCUUUGAUACUGGAUGUCUUGAGUGUGAGAGAGGUGUGUGGAACUCCGGGUGUAGAGGUGAAAUUCGUAGAUAUUCGGAAGAACACCAGUGGCGAAGGCGACACACUGGAUCAUUACUGACGCUCAGGCGCGAAAGCGUGGGGAGCAAACAGG
rnacentral:rRNA from 1 species